AGGAGUAUUGCUUGAGACCAGGAGAUCAAGGCUACAGUGAGCUAUGCUAGCACCACUGUAUUCCUGCUUGGGCAGCAGAGUAAGACUCCAUCUCUAAAUAAAAAUAAAUAAAAUAAACAUGUUUAUAAAAGUUAAAAUUAAGGAAUGAGGACACAAAAUUUCAGUUAGAAGAAAUAAGUUGAAAAGUUCUACUAUACAAAAUGGUGACUACAGUUAAUAAUGUAGUGUAUUCUUGAAAAUCGCAAAGACGGUAAAUUUUAAAUCUUCUUACCAAAAACAGUAUGUGAGUCGAUGCAUAUGGCAAUUAGCUUGAUAGCCAAGACAUCAUGUUGUACAGGGUAAAUAUAUACAUUAAAAAAAUUCUUUAUAUUUAGUAAAAUAUUCUUAAUGUAGGUUCUUAAUCUCUUUUUUGUGUAUAAACCCCUUUAAAAUUCUAUUAAAGCUAAGAAUUUUCUUCCCAAAUAAAUGCAUACAUUAUGUGAAAUAUUGCAAAUAAUUUUAUGCAUUCAAAGAGUUUCUGAAAUCCAUUCAUAAACUUUUGGUGGGGAAACUAUAUUUAAGAAUGACACACUAGAGAAAGUAUCUUUAAAACUUGUAUGAGAAUUAUGUCACCUAACACUAUGAUUCCCUAUUUAUUUUAAAAGUUUCUAGCAGUAAGUAAGAAAUUAAACAAAUAGGAAAGUUAAAAUGAUUAGAGGGAGAAAAAGUUAUCACUUCUCAGGCAUCAUGAUUAUGUACUCAGUC
rnacentral:lncRNA from 1 species